AGAGUUUGAUCCUGGCUCAGGACGAACGCUGGCGGCACGCUUAACACAUGCAAGUCGAACGAGAGAAGAGGAGCUUGCUUUUCUGAUCUAGUGGCGGACGGGCGAGUAACACGUGAGCAAUCUGCCUUUCAGAGGGGGAUACCGAUUGGAAACGAUCGUUAAUACCGCAUAACAUAAUUGAACCGCAUGAUUUGAUUAUCAAAGAUUUAUCGCUGAAAGAUGAGCUCGCGUCUGAUUAGCUAGUUGGUAAGGUAACGGCUUACCAAGGCGACGAUCAGUAGCCGGACUGAGAGGUUGAUCGGCCACAUUGGGACUGAGACACGGCCCAGACUCCUACGGGAGGCAGCAGUGGGGAAUAUUGCACAAUGGAGGAAACUCUGAUGCAGCGAUGCCGCGUGAGGGAAGAAGGUUUUAGGAUUGUAAACCUCUGUCUUCAGGGACGAAAAAAGACGGUACCUGAGGAGGAAGCUCCGGCUAACUACGUGCCAGCAGCCGCGGUAAUACGUAGGGAGCGAGCGUUGUCCGGAAUUACUGGGUGUAAAGGGAGCGUAGGCGGGAUCGCAAGUCAGAUGUGAAAACUAUGGGCUUAACCCAUAAACUGCAUUUGAAACUGUGGUUCUUGAGUGAAGUAGAGGUAAGCGGAAUUCCUAGUGUAGCGGUGAAAUGCGUAGAUAUUAGGAGGAACAUCAGUGGCGAAGGCGGCUUACUGGGCUUUAACUGACGCUGAGGCUCGAAAGCGUGGGGAGCAAACAGGAUUAGAUACCCUGGUAGUCCACGCCGUAAACGAUGAUUACUAGGUGUGGGGGGACUGACCCCUUCCGUGCCGCAGCAAACGCAAUAAGUAAUCCACCUGGGGAGUACGACCGCAAGGUUGAAACUCAAAGGAAUUGACGGGGGCCCGCACAAGCAGUGGAGUAUGUGGAUUAAUUCGAAGCGACGCGAAGAACCUUACCAGGUCUUGACAUCGUAUGCAUAGCUCAGAGAUGAGUGAAAUCUCUUCGGAGACAUAUAGACAGGUGGUGCAUGGUUGUCGUCAGCUCGUGUCGUGAGAUGUUGGGUUAAGUCCCGCAACGAGCGCAACCCUUACUGUUAGUUGCUACGCAAGAGCACUCUAGCAGGACUGCCGUUGACAAAACGGAGGAAGGUGGGGAUGACGUCAAAUCAUCAUGCCCCUUAUGACCUGGGCCUCACACGUACUACAAUGGCUGUCAACAGAGGGAAGCAAAGCCGCGAGGUGGAGCGAACCCCUAAAAGCAGUCUUAGUUCGGAUUGUAGGCUGCAACCCGCCUACAUGAAGUCGGAAUUGCUAGUAAUCGCAGAUCAGCAUGCUGCGGUGAAUACGUUCU
rnacentral:rRNA from 1 species